AGAAUGGCCUGAGAGACAGGGAGGAAGGUGUCCAGUGUGGUAUUCAAUAGGAGCAGCGAAAGACGCCAUGUCUUCAUUGCUGAUUUCAGGAGGAAAGCAGCUUUUCCCCAUUGGAAAAUUAUACCCAAGGUACACCUGGCGGGAUGAGACGGGAAUCCUACUGUGGGCAGUCAUUGAAAAUGACAGCAUCCCUUCUCCUUGACAGAGAAGAUUGGGGAAGUGAAAAGAGGAC